rnacentral:misc_RNA from 1 species
AACGCACAUUGCGCCCGCUAGCACUCUAGCGGGCAUGCCUGUCCGAGCGUCAUUUCACCGCUCAGGCACCUCUCUGCCUGGUGUUGGGGUCGCUGCACGUUCCGUGGCAGGCCCUGAAAGUCAUCGGCGGGUCCGCUGUAGGUUCCCUGGCGUAGUAAGAAAUCUCUCUCGCCUAGGGCUCUCGGCAGAUACUAUAGCCGUCAAAAUAAGAGCUAGAGAGGAGUGAGGGGGGAUCUUGUAUCCCCUCGCCUCUUUUUCUCUCUCUAUCAAACUUGACCUCGGAUCAGGUAGGACUACCCGCUGAACUUAA